rnacentral:lncRNA from 1 species
ACGCCGACUUCGGCCGUCCGGGGUCGGAAGUUGUACGGCUUCUUAGGGGCAUUUAUGUCAUUUGGGAAAAAAUCUUAUUCCCCCCAACACUACCCCCCGACUUCCGAGUUCGAGCGACUUGUGGGCUCGGACGUGGGAAGUAAAGUCUGUCACUAAGGUUGGGGGGUGAGUCUCGUCCGCCCCCUUGCGCUUCUCGGAGCUUUCAUGGUGAAACCUGCGCCCUUUGGCGUCUCGAGGCUGCUUUAUUCAGUGAGCUUAUGAUGAAGCUCGUAUCAUUACGCUUCUUGAAGCGGAGGUGGCGUCCCUUGAAUCGCCAGGAUCGCUUUACGGUGGAUUAAUGAUGGGGGUCCUCGAGCUCGUCGAGGCGGUGCCUCGAUCCCGUAAUCGAGGCUUCUCGCUCAUUAAUGAGUGUGCCGUUACAGGGUUUAAAACGGACACGCGGCGUGACCCAAGGUCGGACGCUUCCGAUUUCGUGUUACUGGGUCAUAAUUCCGGAGAGGUGGAGGCUACAUCGAGGCUCCACGUGUCCCAGAUCUUAUUAAAUGAGGGGAGCGGGGGCGGCGUCCGCUCGUUCCUCAGGACGAUUUGAUUUUGCGGACCCAUGAUGAGGCCCCGAGAUCCGACGGGACAACGCUUAGAUUUCGUACCCGAUUUAUUAAUCCGGAGUGAAUACGGUGCCUCGGCUUCCGAGGUCGACACGUGGCGCAACCCGAUCGGGGGAUGG